rnacentral:rRNA from 1 species
CCUACGGGGGGCAGCAGUGGGGAAUAUUGCACAAUGGGGGAAACCCUGAUGCAGCAACGCCGCGUGAGCGAUGAAGGCCUUCGGGUCGUAAAGCUCUGUCCUAAGGGAAGAAUACUGACGGUACCUUAGGAGGAAGCCCCGGCUAACUACGUGCCAGCAGCCGCGGUAAUACGUAGGGGGCUAGCGUUAUCCGGAAUUACUGGGCGUAAAGGGUGCGUAGGCGGCCGUUCAAGUCAGAGGUGAAAGGCUACGGCUCAACCGUAGUAAUCCUUUGAAACUGUAGGGCUUGAUUGCAGGAGAGGAGUGUGGAAUUACCAGUGUAGCGGUGAGAGGCGUAGAUAUUGGGAGGAACACCAGUUGCGAAGGGGGCUCUCUGGUCUGUAACUGAUGCUGAGGCACGAAAGCGUGGGGAGCGAGCAGGAUUAGAUACCCGGGUAGUC